UACGUAGGUGACCAGCGUUGUCCGGAUUUACUGGGCGUAAAGAGCGCGCAGGCGGUCGUUCAAGUCGAGUGUGAAAGCCCCCGGCUCAACUGGGGAGGGGCAUUCGAUACUGAUCGACUUGAAGGCAGGAGAGGGAAGCGGAAUUCCCGGUGUAGUGGUGAAAUGCGUAGAUAUCGGGAGGAACACCAGUGGCGAAGGCGGCUUCCUGGCCUGUUCUUGACGCUGAGGCGCGAAAGCUAGGGGAGCAAACGGG
rnacentral:rRNA from 1 species